AACGUAGGAGCCUAGCGUUAUCCGAAUUCACUGGGCGUAAAGCGCGUGCAGGCGGUUCGGUAAGUUGGAUGUGAAAUCUCCUGGCUCAACUGGGAGAGGUCCUUGCAUACUGGCGAACUCGAGGGAGGCAGAGGAAAGUGGAAUUCCCGGUGUAGUGGUGAUAUGCGUAGAUAUCGGGAGGAACACCUGUGGCGAAGGCGGCUUUCUGGGCCUUACCUGACGCUGAGACGCGAAAGCGUGGGGAGCGAACCGG
rnacentral:rRNA from 1 species